AACGAACGCUGGCGGCAUGCCCAACACAUGCAAGUCGAACGAAGGCUUCGGCCAUAGUGGCGCACCGGUGAGUAACCCGUGGGAACCUGCCUUUCGUUUCGGAAUCACGUUUGGAUACGAACGCUAACACCGGAUACGCCCUUCGGGGUAAAGGUUACGCCGAGACAGGGCCCCGCGUCCGAUUAGGGAGUUGGUGGGGUAACGGCCUACCAAGACGACGAUCGGUCGCUGGUCUGAGGGGAUUAUCAGCCCCACUGGGACUGAGACACGGGCCCGACUCCUACGGGAGGCAGCAGUGGGGAAUAUUGGACAAUGGGCGCAAGCCUGAUCCAGCACUGCCGCGUGAGUGAUGAAGGCCUUAGGGUUGUAAAGCUCUUUCGCACGCGACGAUGAUGACGGUAGCGUGAGAAGAAGCCCCGGCUAACUUCGUGCCAGCAGCCGCCGUAACAC
rnacentral:rRNA from 1 species